AUUGAACGCUGGCGGCAGGCCUAACACAUGCAAGUCGAGCGGAGCGGCGGACGGGUGAGUAAUGCCUAGGAAUCUGCCUGGUAGUGGGGGAUAACGUCCGGAAACGGGCGCUAAUACCGAAUACUAUCAGAUGAGCCUAGGUCGGUUUAGCUAGUUGGUGGGGUAAAGGCCUACCAAGGCGACGAUCCGUAACGGGUCUGAGAGGAUGAUCGGUCACACUGGAACUGAGACACGGCCCAGACUCCUACGGGAGGAAGAGUGGGGGAAUAUUGGACAUGGGGGGAAGUCCGAAUCCAGCCAUGCCGCGUGUGUGAAGAAGGUCUUCGGAUUGUAAAGCACUUUAAGUUGGGAGGCGUUACCGACAUAAUAAGCACCGGCUAACUUCGUGCCAGCAGCCGCGGUAAUUC
rnacentral:rRNA from 1 species